GACGAACGCUGGCGGCGUGCUUAACACAUGCAAGUCGAACGGAAAGGCCCUGCUUUUGUGGGGUGCUCGAGUGGCGAACGGGUGAGUAACACGUGAGUAACCUGCCCUUGACUUUGGGAUAACUUCAGGAAACUGGGGCUAAUACCGGAUAGGAGCGCCUGCUGCAUGGUGGGGGUUGGAAAGUUUCGGCGGUUGGGGAUGGACUCGCGGCUUAUCAGCUUGUUGGUGGGGUAGUGGCUUACCAAGGCUUUGACGGGUAGCCGGCCUGGGAGGGUGACCGGCCACAUUGGGACUGAGAUACGGCCCAGACUCCUACGGGAGGCAGCAGUGGGGAAUAUUGCACAAUGGGCGGAAGCCUGAUGCAGCAACGCCGCGUGCGGGAUGACGGCCUUCGGGUUGUAAACCGCUUUCGCCUGUGACGAAGCGUGAGUGACGGUAAUGGGUAAAGAAGCACCGGCUAACUACGUG
rnacentral:rRNA from 1 species